CCUACAUUAUUUAUCAGUGAUUUUAUGUUUCCUUCCAGGUCAUUAAUAAACAUGUUAAAGUUUGCAGAUGACACAAAGAUUGGGAGAGUGGUAAAUAAUGAAGAAGGCAGGUCACUGAAGCAGAGCGAUCUGGAUCUCUUGGUAAACAUAGACGAAGGAAGGAUAAAUUGACAAAAACUCGAUCACGUUAACAAAUAUAUGUAAAAAUACCAAACAAAUCCUAACUGAACAUCACAUUCCAGACCCUCUCUGCAGCCCUAAACAGCCUGAAAUGCACAAGGGUAAAGAGAGUAAAGGGCCUCUAGUAAUUCCAAAAUCCAGUCUCCUGUGAUUACCGGCCAACCUUUAAACAAAAUGCCUUCACACACUGUCAACCGUAACUGUAAUUCCAUUGUCUUUACAUGCUGGCCAUUGAGCUCCCAGUUGAGAAAACAGUCAAGCAGAACACAGUGUGUAAUACAGAAAUCUAGAGGAGACAAAGAGAAAGUCCAUCAGGGAGAGAGAAAUAUUGUUCAGUACAGAUCACCAAGCAAAAUCUACACAAAUUCCAGAAGAUAAGAAUUGUUAAUAAUUUCCUCCUCUGAGUGGUCGGCCCUGGCCUCUUCUGCAACCUCUUGUUCCCAUGAAGAUAACAUUUUUGAAUUAAAAAAAUCUUGGCACCAUUCAUGUAUAUCCAUAUAUAUAUGAUAUAAACUAUUGCAGAGUUUCCCUGGAUAAAACACUGGAACAUUUCCAUCCCUGUGCUAGAAAUCUUUGACUUUAGACAAUCAAAUUUCUAUUAUCUAUGAUGGGUUGUAUGGGACAUUUGAGGAAAUAUGGACAUGUCUGAAAAGUUAAACUUUCUGCAUUUUCUUUCAAGUAAACUCCAAGCUCUGUCUCCAACAGACAUACCUACAGUACUAAGUGUUCUUGGGAUCGGAAAGUGAACCAUUAAUUCCACCACACAGCAAACACCUGCAGCUGCUCCUGUAAUCCAAAAUACUGGUUAAGGUCCAUCACAUUUUUUUCUUUUAAGGAUCUGAUUAAGCUCCCAGUGGGGGCUAAAUCAAGCCCUAAAAUAGUAUCUGGACCUUCCAGAGGAUUCCAUGCCAUUUAAACUUUUUUGCACAUUCCACUACUCAAAGGUUUGUAGCCCCAGUGUUAAUUUCCAGUAUUUCCACGAUUGUAUGUGUUUUGGUAACAAUGUAUUUUCUUAAAUAAAUUGCUUUUCAGG